rnacentral:lncRNA from 1 species
AAGACGAAGGAAAAACUGGCUGAAGAAGAAAAGGGAAGAAAUUCAGCUAAAGGUUAUGUGCAAGAACAUGCUGAGACCCAAACCGGAAUCAAGGAACCUACCAAUGAGUCCCGAAUCGGCAUCGAGGAACCUAUAUGUGCAAGAACAUGCUGAGUCCCAAACUGGAAUCAAGGAACCUACCAAUGAGUCCCGAAUCGGCAUCGAGGAACCUACCAUUGAGUCUCAAACCGGAAUCAAGGAACCUGCAAAUGACUCCCAAACCGGAAUCCAGGAACUUACUGUUUCCUCUCUUCCCCCAAAAGCUUAACCUGAAGUAUUUUAAAAGUAAACGCGCAAUUUACACUAGUUUGUUAUUUGAAUUUGAGCAGGUCGAUAUGUAUUGUUGAUCCAGAUGUGUCAUAUUCUAUACGUUGGGACGUAAAAU